UUGGUCUCCUUGAUGCUAUAGCUGUGCUUAUUUGUGUUUUGGGCCGGGGAAAAGUUAAUAGGUAAGAAACAGUUUUGGGUGUCAUUAUCUUCCUGUCUCAAUUAUGUAAAGCAAUAAACAUUGGUGAAGCGUGGAAAGUAUAAUGGGGUCAAGGUAAGGGGUAAACGGAGUAGGAUAAUCCAACUUUUGCUUUUUGUUGUUUCUUUUUCACCUUGUGGGUAUCAUUGGGGGUGGUGUACAUAAGGAAAGAUGGAUUUUCAUCUGAGAGAGAAGCCGGUAUAAGUUUGUAAUUGUGGAAAUAUUUUGUGAACUGCGCAGCUAUUACAUAAGAAUGUGAUUCUUUCACGGAGUUUUAAUAAUCAUGCAGUGGUAUGACUGGUACUAAUUCUUCAGCCACUUGAUAAAAUGGACUCUCUCUUUACGCAACUGAGAUCAUGAUAAGCAUGCAAAAAGUCACUCAAGAUGGUAUGGUACUACUAUCAUGGGAUGGAAAAGAUGAAACAUAUAUUAUUGUUUAAUUUUAGGAAAAGAUGAACUUCAAAGUUGACCUUCCGUGGAGACUUGUGCUUCUCCUCAUUCAUUACUAGUCCAGAGAACAAAAGCUAGCACUACAGUGCUUUGACAUUGCACCGGAUUGUUGCCAAGAAAUACACUACUGUACUGUCCUACUGUACUGUAAAAGAUGGUGUGGUGCAUUAUUCUAAACGGUCCAUACCCUUUUCCAGCCUCUCAAUUGACUUUAAAAACUUUGGGGAUUGAUAAAGAUGGUCAUGAUCCUUUAUUUUUUUCAUGAUCCUUUAUUGAUUCACUUUUUUGUUGCAUGAAAUGUCUCAUAACGUAGAAAGCUUUAAAAAAAUAUUGGGUACUCUUUAGCUUUUUGUUCCGUUACGUCUUUUCAUACGAUAAGGGGAAAUUAAUUCUUAUCUUUGCCGCGGGCGGGCUCACAUAUCAGAUUAUUAUGUGCGAGAAUAGGCAGCUUUACUGAUUGCGAGCAAAGAUUGAAUAUCAUCAGGUCAGCAACUGUGGCAAUCUCAAAGCUCCAGCUCCAAAUUCCAGUGAGAACAUGAGUAGAAACCAGGCAAGUUCACCCCAAGUUUCCCAAACAUCUCGUGCACCUGUUGACCUUGUCACGGUUCUAGAUGUCAGUGGCAGCAUGGCAGGUACCAAGCUUGCAUUGCUCAAGCGAGCUAUGGGGUUUGUGAUACAGAACCUUGGUCCCAAUGACAGGCUUGCAGUAAUUGCCUUCUCAUCAACCGCCCGCCGGUUGUUUCCCCUUCGUAGGAUGUCUGAAACAGGACGGCAGCAAGCACUGCAAGCUGUUAACUCUUUAGUUGCAAAUGGAGGGACAAACAUUGCUGAAGGCUUGCGCAAGGGUGCCAAGGUAAUGGAAGAUCGCAGAGAAAAGAACCCUGUUGCCAGUAUUAUAUUGCUAUCUGAUGGGCAAGAUACAUAUACAGUUAGUAACAUGGGGAGCAGUCAACAGCAACCAAAUUACCAACUUCUUCUUCCAUUGUCUAUCCACAAUGAAAGUAGUUCUAAUUUUAAGAUUCCAGUGCAUGCUUUUGGGUUCGGGGCAGACCAUGAUGCUUCAUCAAUGCACUCAAUCUCAGAGAUAUCUGGAGGAACCUUCUCUUUCAUUGAAACAGAAGGUGUAAUCCAGGAUGCAUUUGCUCAGUGCAUUGGUGGACUUUUGAGUGUUGUGGUCAAGGACCUGCAGGUGAAUAUUGAGUGUGUUGAUCCAAGAGUCAGUCUUGGUUCCUUAAAAGCUGGAAGCUACCCCAAUCGUGUGAUGUCGGAUGGAUGCAUGGGAACUAUUGAUGUUGGCGACCUGUAUGCUGAUGAGGAACGAGACUUUCUAGUUUCAGUUAAUGUCCCAACUGAAAUUUCAAGCUCUGAAACUGCAUUGAUAAGGGUGAAAUGUGUUUACAAUGAUCCUUUGACAAAAGGCUCGGUGACUGUUGGAAGUGAUGAAGUUAGGAUUAGAAGACCUGAUGAAGCUGGACAACAAAGUGCAUCAGUUGAAGUGGAUAGGCAACAGAACAGGCUGCGUGCGGCUGAGGCGAUGCUCCUAGCGCGAACUACGGCUGAGAAAGGAGACCUGUCUGGUGCAGCAUCUAUUCUUGAAAACUGUCGCAAGGUGUUGUCAGAAACUGUUUCGGCCAAGUCUCAUGAUCGGCUCUGCAUUGCACUUGAUGCUGAGCUUAAAGAAAUGCAAGAGAGACUGGCAAGCAGACAUGUGUAUGAAGCAUCAGGAAGGGCAUAUAUUCUUUCAGGACUAAGCUCACACUCAUGGCAGAGAGCAACAGCACGAGGUGACUCGACGGAUGGUUCAAGCCUGGUUCAGGCCUAUCAAACCCCGUCAAUGACCGAGAUGCUGAAUCGGUCUCAGGCUUCCCUACUAGGUAGUUCUUCAGCUCAGAGGCUCAUUCGACCUGUUUUAUCAUUUGCAUCACAUCCAAAGCCAAGGUGACCUUGCGACACCAAGAUAUGGAGUUUUCUCAAAGAUAACUGUUUUUCAUUGGUCUCCUUGAUGCUAUAGCUGUGCUUAUUUGUGUUUUGGGCCGGGGAAAAGUUAAUAGGUAAGAAACAGUUUUGGGUGUCAUUAUCUUCCUGUCUCAAUUAUGUAAAGCAAUAAACAUUGGUGAAGCGUGGAAAGUAUAAUGGGGUCAAGGUAAGGGGUAAACGGAGUAGGAUAAUCCAACUUUUGCUUUUUGUUGUUUCUUUUUCACCUUGUGGGUAUCAUUGGGGGUGGUGUACAUAAGGAAAGAUGGAUUUUCAUCUGAGAGAGAAGCCGGUAUAAGUUUGUAAUUGUGGAAAUAUUUUGUGAACUGCGCAGCUAUUACAUAAGAAUGUGAUUCUUUCACGGAGUUUUAAUAAUCAUGCAGUGGUAUGACUGGUACUAAUUCUUCAGCCACUUGAUAAAAUGGACUCUCUCUUUACGCAACUGAGAUCAUGAU
rnacentral:lncRNA from 1 species